rnacentral:rRNA from 1 species
UGGGGAAUCUUGCGCAAUGGGCGAAAGCCUGACGCAGCGACGCCGCGUGAGUGAUGAAGGCCUUCGGGUUGUAAAGCUCUGUGGAGGGGGACGAAUAAGUCGGAGCGAAUAGCUCCGAUGAUGACGGUACCUCUUUAGCAAGCACCGGCUAACUCUGUGCCAGCAGCCGCGGUAAGACAGAGGGUGCAAACGUUGUUCGGAAUUACUGGGCGUAAAAGCGCGUGUAGGCUGCUCGGAAAGUCGGAUGUGAAAGCCCUGGGCUCAACCUAGGAAGUGCAUUCGAAACUUCUGAGCUUGAGUAUCGGAGAGGGUCGCGGAAUUCUCGGUGUAGAGGUGAAAUUCGUAGAUAUCGAGAGGAACACCGGUGGCGAAGGCGGCGACCUGGACGAUUACUGACGCUGAGACGCGAAAGCGUGGGGAGCAAACAGGAUUAGAUACCCUGGUAGUCCACGCCGUAAACGAUGGGUGCUAGGUGUC